rnacentral:ncRNA from 1 species
UGCGCAGCGCGUGCUUCAUCACGAUAUUGGGAAAGCUCACCCCUUUCAGCCGCGCCGUGCGGAUAUAUUGCGAGGUCAUGACCUCGGCCAUGCUGGCCCGCGUCAUCCGCGCGAUAUACCCCAUGCCGUAAACCGCGAUGGUCAGCACCGGCAGAAAGAAAUUCUCGAACGUGAUAUUGU